ACGUCAAGUCCGCAUGGCCCUUAUGGGCUGGGCCACACACGUGCUACAAUGGCAAUGACAAUGGGAAGCAAGGCUGUAAGGCGGAGCGAAUCCGGAAAGAUUGCCUCAGUUCGGAUUGUUCUCUGCAACUCGGGAACAUGAAGUUGAAAUCGCUAGUAAUCGCGGAUCAGCAUGCCGCGGUGAAUAUGUACCCGGGCCCU
rnacentral:rRNA from 1 species